GCCACCGUGGUCUGUGUUCACUCGCCUUCCCGAACAAAGCCAGGUUUUUAACCUCAAGUUUUCAUUCUGCUACUGCUAUUUCGGUUUUUAAAUGACCCCAUGAAAGUCACCCAGUUCCUUAUCUUGGUUAGGAUCACCAACACAGAAGGUUUGGAGCACUGUGCUAAAUAAUUCAUUGUUCUACAAGUAAAGAAA